GAAACCACAUUCGUUUCUUCGUAUUGAAAGAAAAAAGAAAAGUUGCAAGUUAUUGCAAAACAAGUAUUUAUUCAAUUGAAAUAUAGAGGGUGAAAACUUGUUUAUUAAUCAAAAAAAGUAAUUGGUAAAUUUCUGAAGAUAAGGUUGGGAAACUCAGUUCAAGAAAGAGUGAAAAUACAAAGAAACGCUGGCAAAUUUCAAGCAGAACAAACCAAAUACAAAACAAACAUAAAAAAGUGAAAAUUUUGUUGUGAUCAGGUCAAAUAGCUGCCAACCAAGGGAACAAGUAAAUAAAUAUAUAGCGCAACCCACGGGGAACUUCCGGGUUUACAGCGAUAAAAUAGAAGGAAGAAGCAACAAACAAGUCAAAGCUGCUGCACUUACUCCCCCCAUCAUCCGCCAGCGUUAGGGCAAUCGACGAAAACAACAAUUAAAAAUGGCCGCAGAUAACGAUUGCUUCAGUAUUGGAUCAACGGUGAUGUGCACGACCUGCUUCAAUGAGGAAUUCGAAGGAGAAGUUCUUGCAUUUGACCAUAACACAAAAAUGCUCAUCUUAAAAUGUCGGUCAAAAAAUGCAGACAAUUUAACCGAUGUUCAUGUCUUGAAUCUUUCUCUAUGUAGCAAUGUUCAAGUGGUCAAAGAAUGUAAUGGCAAUUUUGUUGAUGAUCCUCAAAAAUUAAACUUGGAACAAUUGAAAAUACGACUUCGUAAAACAGUACAACAUCGUCAAACGUAUCUCAAGUCCAAAAAUGCUGCUGUAAGCCCGGAGGCGCAAGAGUUGUACAGAGUAAUUGCAAAGCAAUUUAAGUAUAAUGAGGUGUCUUGGCAAGGUUUAGAUAUACAAAUAUUCAAGGAAGUUACCAUAAAACCGCCAUAUAGGGCAGAGAACGUGGUAUCCACAUCAAAUAAUAAAAGUUUAUGCACCUAUAUUAAGAAAAUGGAAUUCAUCGGGUCAAUCCGGUACAUACAACCGGCUGCCAUGGGAUUGACUGGCUUAGGUGUAUGUCCAUAGUGGCAAUGGGCCGGAUUAAUAUCUGCAACCUCUUUUCAACCUACCAUAACCUAACCUAGUUGUAGUUAGUUCGAUAGUUUUCUCCAUUAGAUAUUGAAAAUUUUGUUAAUAAUAGAGCUGCGCAAGAAAGUAGCGCUUCAGUAAUGGGCACGUCGUCAGCGUCCUCGCCCACGUCAUCA